rnacentral:snoRNA from 2 species
UCUCAAUGAUGAUGAACAGAGGUUAAGAGUCAGAUGUAAUCUAUUAUACUAAACCGUGUGGAAUAAUGAGGCAUUUGUCUCGGAGAA